GUGAAUCAUCGAAUCUUUGAACGCACAUUGCGCCCUUUGGCAUUCCGAAGGGCAUGCCUGUUCGAGCGUCAUCUAACCCGUCAAGCCUCGCUUGGUCUUGGGCGCAGGUCGAUCUCAGACCCGCCCGCAACUCGUCGGCGGUCGGCACCGGCUCUGAGCGUGGCAAGAAACUUUCGCUCGCGAGCCCGGGUCCUCCCGCCGGGAAAGCUCACUCCUAAGUUUGACCUCGGAUCAGGUAGGGAUACCCGCUGAACUUAAGCAUAUCAAUAAGCGGAGGA
rnacentral:misc_RNA from 1 species